GGGAAAGAUUUGGUUUUAUUUUUACUUGCUAAGUUUUUAGUCUACAGUUCGAUUCUGUUGUUUUCUCU
rnacentral:tRNA from 1 species